AUUUUUGGACAAUGGGCGCAAGCCUGAUCCAGCCAUGCCGCGUGAGUUAAGAAGGACAUAGGGUUGUCCCGCUUUUUCGGACGGAAACAAAUCGCGCAAGCUAAUACCCUGCGCGGAUGACGGUACCGUCAUAUGAAACUCCGGCUAACUAAGUGCCAGCAGCCGCGGUAAUACGUAGGGUGCGAGCGUUAAUCGGAAUUACUGGGCGUAAAGCGUGCGCAGGCGGUUGAUUAAGACAGGCGUGAAAUCCCCGGGCUUAACCUGGGAACUGCGCUUGUGACUGGUCAGCUAGAGUACGGCAGAGGGGGGUGGAAUUCCACGUGUAGCAGUGAAAUGCGUAGAGAUGUGGAGGAACACCGAUGGCGAAGGCAGCCCCCUGGGCCGAUACUGACGCUCAUGCACGAAAGCGUGGGUAGCAAACAGG
rnacentral:rRNA from 1 species